CGUGCACCGGUGGGGUCCCUUGGCCUGGCCUGCACCCUCUUGCAAUCUGGGACUCCUCGGGGGAUGUUGGAGACCCAGUGCAUGGAUUCGGCCCCAUCCCUGCAGGCCAGGCCGAGGGACUCCACCAGUGCACG
rnacentral:pre_miRNA from 1 species